GAGAAGAUUCUCGAUAGGGUACUCGAGGUUAGGCUGUAAACCUAUAAGUCAAAGACUUGCGGGGGUUCGAAUCCCUCUCUUCUCA
rnacentral:tRNA from 1 species